GUAGGUAUUGCCCUUCAUUGCAAGAAAAUAAUUAAACAGAAGAAAAAUAUUUAACAAAGCUUAAUUGUUGCAGGUUCUUUGUUCGGGUCCUGCUUAGGUCAUUAACAACAUUACUAACCACUGUUAGCAAAUUUUUUAAGCAAUUUGUUUUUGCAGUGAAUACAAGGGGAUUCUAGUCAUGCGUUAGGGUCUUGACUCAUGACAUCAAUAAGAAUGCUGAUAAUGUGUCACUAUCAGGUGCCUAUACUACAACUCUUCCCGAAGAAAGGCAGAAAGAGAGACACACUAAUGACCUUAGCGGUAGCUUACUACAAGCUGCAACUCACAGAAGAGCAACUAUUAUGAAUAUCUUUGUAUAUCAACAGUAUUCAACAGUUCUUCAAACCAUACAGACAGAAUUGAGUUGCUGGGGAGUUUGUUCCACCGCUUCUGCUGCUGAUUUUCAGCCUAUUUUGAAUAAAUGACUUUAUCUGUAGCCUUAAUUUUAUGUAAAUAAACCUUUACCUCUGUGUAAAUGAUUGUCUCAUUUUAUUUUUUAUCUUAAGAGUUGUUGCUUAUAUCACACAAGCAACAAAUAGGUACUAUAAUUAUUAUUGCCAUAAUUAUACUUUGAAAACAAAGCAUGAGAGUUUUGCUAGAAUGAAACCAACAAGUCUGGAGAACUAUUACUAGUAAAUGAAUAUUAUUUAAAGACACUUACUA